GGGCGAAACAUAUCACUCAUCUGAGGAACAUCAGAUUUCUGCAACUGAAGCAUGUCUCAGAGGAGCAAACCGUCCUCGAGUCAAAAUUCCUCCUCCGGUUCCUCUCCUCCAUCAGAUCCUCCGCUACGCUCGGCUUUGAAAAGCAGCACUAAAGAAUCUAAAGCUGAGAAUCUGAAAAGAAAAAUAAGCCAGAGCUCUGUAACCGCGUACACGUCCUUCCUGAACACGCUGUUCGGACAGGUACGGCAGGUCACUACAGAGGUGUCUCAAGAAUAUAGUUUAUAUUCCGUUAUCUGCGGAGAGGAAGAAUUUAGUUUUGAAGCUAAAGGGCUUUAAUAUGGAACAUGAGUCGC
ensembl:lncRNA